rnacentral:rRNA from 1 species
GCUCAGCGCUGAAUCUCUUUGCUGUAAUGGUAAAGCGAACUGUAGCGUAUAGCAUUUUAUAUUCCAUGAAAUAUAAUAUCUUAAGUUCUCUUUGACUAGAGUUCCAUAGAAGGUGAUAGACCUGUUAAGAUAUUUUAUAUUUUAUGGUUAUUUUAUGCUUUGAGUCGGGUUGUUUGGAAACACAGCCCAAAGUAGGUGGUAAACUUCACCUAAAGCUAAAUAUAUGUAUGAAUCCGAUAGCAAACAAGUACCGUGAGGGAAAGUUGAAAAGAACUCUGAAGAGAGAGUUAAAUAGUACGUGAAACUGAAUGAGUGGAAGCGUAUAGAGUUGUCGAAAGAUGGUAAUAAUAAGUUGUAUAUAAGUGUAACGGGCUUUUAAAUGUUUUCGUAUGAAUCAUUUAAAAGUUGCAGUUUGCUUCUAUAUAAUGCACUUGUUGCCAUUGUGCUGAUACAAUUGAUUGAGAUUUUUAAAAUUAUAUUAGAGGGCAUAUCUUCGGAUGUGUAUCCUGGUAUAAUGAAAAAGAUUUUUGGUUAAUUGUCCUUUAAUGAUUAAAAGAUGGUAUAAGCUUGAUUGGAUUUAGAGGUUAACGCUUGCGUUGGCUUUUUUGUCUGGUUCUGUUUAUGCUUUAUGAUAGUUAUUAAAUAUCAGUAUAAAAGACAAUCACCUAUAUGUCCCGUCUUGAAACACGGACCAAGGAGUUUAUCGUAUUUGCGAGUCAUUAAGUGAUCAAAACUUAUUGGCGUAAUGAAAGUAAAGCAAGUUUUUGGACUUGUGAUAUAUGAUUGUUUAUCUACGGAUAUGCAAGCAGUAUAGUCCCAUCUAAUUCCUUUAUGGAAUGGGUGGAGAUAGAGCAUAUGCGAUGAGACCCGAAAGAUGGUGAACUAUGCCUGAGCAGGAUGAAGUCAGAGGAAACUCUGAUGGAAGUCCGAAGCGGUUCUGACGUGCAAAUCGAU